CCGGCGACCGGCGCACGGGUGAGUAACACGUAUGCAACCUGCCCUCUUCAGGGGGACAACCUUCCGAAAGGGAGGCUAAUCCCGCGUAUAUCGGUUUCGGGCAUCCGAGAUCGAGGAAAGAUUCAUCGGAAGAGGAUGGGCAUGCGGCGCAUUAGCUAGACGGCGGGGUAACGGCCCACCGUGGCGACGAUGCGUAGGAGUUCUGAGAGGAAGGUCCCCCACACUGGUACUGAGACACGGACCAGACUCCUACGGAAGGCAGCAG
rnacentral:rRNA from 1 species